UACAGGGGGGGCAAGCGUUGUCCGGAGUUACUGGGCGUAAAGCGCACGCAGGCGGCUUCCCAAGCGCCACGUGAAAGCCCCGGGCUCAACCCGGGAGGGUCGCGGCGAACUGGGAGGCUUGAGGCCGGUAGAGGUGGGUGGAACUCCUGGUGGAGUGGUGAAAUGCGUAGAGAUCAGGAAGAACACCCGUGGCGAAGGCGGCCCACUGGGCCGGUGCUGACGCUGAGGCGCGAAGGCGUGGGGAGCGAACGGG
rnacentral:rRNA from 1 species